GCAGCUAUGGCCGAGUGGUCUAAGGCGGUGGACUUAAGCUAGCUCAUUCAAUGAGAGUUUAACCCACUGGGAAACCGCGUGAGUUCGAACCUCACUGGCUGCA
rfam:Cryptococcus pinus CBS 10737 unplaced genomic scaffold supercont1.2, whole genome shotgun sequence.